rnacentral:rRNA from 1 species
AUUGAACGCUGGCGGCAGGCCUAACACAUGCAAGUCGAACGAGUGGCGGACGGGUGAGUAAUGUCUGGGAAACUGCCCGAUGGAGGGGGAUAACUACUGGAAACGGUAGCUAAUACCGCAUACCAUCGGAUGUGCCCAGAUGGGGGUAGCUUGUAGGUGAGGUAACGGCUCACCUAGGCGACGAUCCCUAGCUGGUCGGAGAGGAUGACCAGCAUAGCUGUAACUGAGACACGGUCCAGCCUCCUACGGGAGGCAGCAGUGGGGAAUAUGGCACAAUGGGUGCAAGCCUGAUGCAGCCAGGCCGCGUGGAUGAAGAAGGCAUUUGUGUUGUAAAGUACUUUCAGCGGGGAGGCGUUACCCGCAGAAGAAGCACCGGCUAACUCCGUGCCAGCCGCGGUUAUAC